rnacentral:rRNA from 1 species
GGUUUCUUGAUAAAUAUAGGAGAUUUAAUCUGCCCACUGAUUUAAAUAAAUUAAAGGGCUGCAGUAUAUUAACUGUACAAAGGUAGCAUAAUCAAUAGUCUUUUAAUUAAAGGCUGGAAUGAAUGGUUGGACGAGGUAAAUACUAUUUUAAAAUAAGUUGAGAUUGAAUUUAGAUUUUAGGUAAAAAUACUUAAAUUAAAUUAAGGGACGAGAAGACCCUAUAGAGUUUUAUAUAAUUUAUAUUAAAAGGGUUAAAAUAAUAUUAGAAUUAAUUUAUAUUUGAUUGGGGUGAUGGAAAGAUAAUUUAAACUCUUUUUGAAAGUGAAUGUAAAUGAAUAGUUUAAGAUCCAUUAUUUAAUGAUUAAAAGAUUAAAUUACCUUAGGGAUAACAGCAUAAUUCUUUUUAAUAGUUCAUAUAGAAAAGGGAGAUUGUGACCUCGAUGUUGGAUUAAGAUAAAUUAUAGAUGAAGAUGUUUAUAAAAUUGGGUCUGUUCGACCAUUAAAUUCUUACA